rnacentral:rRNA from 1 species
GAUGAACGCUGGCGGCGUGCUUAACACAUGCAAGUCGAACGGAAAGGCCCAAGCUUGCUUGGGUACUCGAGUGGCGAACGGGUGAGUAACACGUGGGUGAUCUGCCCUGCACUUCGGGAUAAGCCUAGGAAACUGGGUCUAAUACCGGAUAGGACCACUUCUUGGAUGUUGUGGUGGAAAGUUUUUUCGGUGUGGGAUGAGCUCGCGGCCUAUCAGCUUGUUGGUGGGGUAAUGGCCUACCAAGGCGUCGACGGGUAGCCGGCCUGAGAGGGUGUACGGCCACAUUGGGAAUGAGAUACGGCCCAGACUCCUACGGGAGGGAGCAGUGGGGAAUAUUGCACAAUGGGCGCAAGCCUGAUGCAGCGACGCCGCGUGGCGGAUGACGGGCUUCGGGUUGUAAACUCCUUUCGCUAGGGACGAAGCGUUUUGUGACGGUACCUGGAGAAGAAGCACCGGCUAACUACGUG